rnacentral:lncRNA from 1 species
CCCUUUAUUAUUAUUUUUUCCUUUUUUUUUUAAACUACAUUUAUUUUUAUCAUACAUAAACUUUAUGUCUGUCCAGCUCAUAACAGAGAUCGAAAGUGUCUGUAAGCAGAUAAAAUGUAUGGAAAAGGAAGAAAUUGAAUUGAAUAAUGACAUAUCAUGUGUUAACUUAAUGUGCAAAAAUGUUGAAGCAACAUUACAUAAUGAGUUCGUAAAAGUUGAAAUAGCAGCUCAAAAAAUGAAUCAAGUGGAAUAUAAUGAAGAAGAAAAAAAAAACAUAAACUCCGAUUUAGUUAAAUGUGAUAAUGAAAUAAAACAGUACUUAAAUAACAUGAAUACCAAUAAUGAUGAUAUCACAGAAUUAAAAGAAAUAAAAGAUAAGCAUUUUCUUUUAAAACAUAUUUCUAUAGAUGAUUUGUAUGAAAUUUACGAGGAAACAAAAGAAAAAUAUCAAGAAAACGCAUUCAAGAACCAAUGCCAACAAAUUGCUAUUGUUAAUUACAAAACCCAUUCUUAUUUUUGCAAUCCGACACACCUACUACAUAUGGCGUAUCUUCUUAUAGAAAAAGUAAAAGAUAAUAAUGAUGACCCUUACUUUAAUUUUACAAACAUUGCACGUUUUUACGGAUUGAAUGAAGAAGAAAAGAGUCAAACGAUUGAAAACUUUGGUUUAUCUGAACUGAAUAAAAUAAUGAUAAAUCAUUAUAAAUCUAAAAAAAUUCAUGUUAAUAGUACCAUAUAAUAUUUUAAAAUUUAGUUGUAUUUUUAUUAAAAAUUAUAUAUAUUUUUUUAUACAUCAUUCAUCCAUUAUUGAGUCUUCAUUUUUUUUUUUUUUUUUUUUUUAUUUUAUUAUUUUUGUUUCUAUUUGUUCCUUUUGUCCAUUUUUCUAUUUAUUUUUAUAAAUAUUAUUGUAAAGAUCCUUUUUAAUUUAUUUUAUAUUUUUUUAUUAUUUUAGUUCUACAGAGAGUUUAAGAAAAAAAAAAAUGAAUUCAUAAAAUUAUGUUAAAUUUUAUUUUUACUGAUAUUAAAAUUUAAAAAAAACCUUUUUUUUUUUUGUUAUAUAUGCAGUGUCACCAUUUUUUUUUUUUUUUUAAAUGGAUUUUGUAUACAAAGAAGUUUAUCUCUUUGUCUUAUUAAUAUUCAUUGAGAAACAAAAUAACGUUUUUUAAAAAUAGAAAAUAUAUACCUAUUCUGUUUUUUUUAUUUUACAAUUCUCAUUUUUGUUGUUUUGGUGUACAUUAUUUUUACUUAGAAAAUUUAACACUUUAAAAGUAGUCACAGUAUAGAUGAUGUGCUCAUUGCACAUUGGCCUGCCUCUGUUGACUCACCAGCCUAUUAAUAUAUACACAUACGUAUAUAUAUAUGUUUGUGAUAUCGUUGUGUGAUAGCGGAUAUUGCUAAUGUUAAAAAAAAAAAGGUAUACGAUUUUUAAAUAUAAGGAAAAUUUUUUCGUUUUAAAAAAAAAAAAAAAAAAAAAAAAAACUUAAUAAUAAAAAAAAAAAAAAAACACA